GACGAACGCUGGCGGCGUGCCUAAUACAUGCAAGUCGAGCGAAGUUUUUCUGGUGCUUGCACUAGAAAAACUUAGCGGCGAACGGGUGAGUAACACGUAAAGAACCUGCCUCAUAGACUGGGACAACUAUUGGAAACGAUAGCUAAUACCGGAUAACAAUAUUUUUCGCAUGAAAGAUACUUAAAAGUUGGUUAUGCUAACACUAUGAGAUGGCUUUGCGGUGCAUUAGCUAGUUGGUGGGGUAAAGGCCUACCAAGGCGACGAUGCAUAGCCGACCUGAGAGGGUGAUCGGCCACACUGGGACUGAGACACGGCCCAGACUCCUACGGGAGGCAGCAGUAGGGAAUCUUCCGCAAUGGGCGAAAGCCUGACGGAGCAACGCCGCGUGAGUGAAGAAGGAUUUCGGUUCGUAAAGCUCUGUUGUUAGGGAAGAAUGGAUAUGUAGUAACUAUACAUAUAA
rnacentral:rRNA from 1 species